CUUGCGAUCAUAUCACGUUGAAACUCCGGUUCAUGUUAGAUCACCGAAGUUAAGCAACGUCGAACCUGGUCAGUAUCUAGACUGAUGACCACUUGGGAAUACCAGAUGAUGUAA